rnacentral:rRNA from 1 species
AACGAACGCUGGCGGCAGGCCUAACACAUGCAAGUCGAACGCUGUAGCAAUACAGAGUGGCAGACGGGUGAGUAACACGUGGGAAUCUUCCUAUCGGUACGGAAUAGCUCAGGGAAACUUGGGGUAAUACCGCAUACGCCCUUCGGGGGAAAGAUUUAUCGCCGAUAGAUGAGCCCGCGUCUGAUUAGCUAGUUGGUGAGGUAAUGGCUCACCAAAGCGACGAUCAGUAGCUGGUCUGAGAGGAUGACCAGCCACACUGGGACUGAGACACGGCCCAGACUCCUACGGGAGGCAGCAGUGGGGAAUAUUGGACAAUGGGCGCAAGCCUGAUCCAGCCAUGCCGCGUGAGUGACGAAGGUCUUCGGAUUGUAAAGCUCUUUUGGCGGGGACGAUAAUGACGGUACCCGCAGAAUAAGCCCCGGCUAACUUCGUGCCAGCCGCCGCCGUAACAC